rnacentral:ncRNA from 2 species
UCAAGACCAAUGGGAGAGCGUGGUUUCAAGACCACCGCCGAAGGCGUAACACCCGUAACCGCUCAGGCAACAAGAACUAUUGGCACAGG